UGGUGGGAGUGACUAAAAGGCUGACAGACAGAGAGAGGGCAGGGGGCUGUCCCCAAGGAACAGAACAAGGGUUGUCUUGACCUGGUAGAACAGGAUUUGUUAUCAAAAGGAGAUAACUGAGGCUUCUCCUAUCUUUUUAACUGGGAGUGCUUUUCAAGGUCUCCACAGUUAGGAAUCUGGAAGGCAUAGGAAGAUCUGUACCAACUGCUUUAUGAAGCAAAGGCCUAUUGAAAAGAAUAUAAAAGCUUUUUUGCCUCUAUUUUUAUUGGUAGGUGAAGGAUGUACAAGUUGAUGCUGUUAGAAUUGUGGUAGCUUGAUUUUUUGGGUUUUGUUUGUUUUUUGGAGGGUUUUUUCCUUUUAGGAAGAUGAAGGGAAGAUUUUAUAAUUAUCUUUCUAUACAAAGGGCAGGAUAUAGAGAAGUUUGCUAAGUUGUGCAUAGUGAAAGUAUAAGAAACAACAGUUCCAGUUGAAAUGCAAAAAGUUCUGAAUGGGUGUAAGAGCAAAAAUACUUCCCUGUGAGGAUGAUCACAUCCUGGGAAGGGCUUAUGCCUGGAGACCUUUUGUAAUCCUCAGUCCUUGGAGCUCUGUGGAACUCAGCUGAGCAGCCUGGUCUCAUUGGACCUACUUGGCGCAAAUGUUAGGCUGCAUAACCUCUAGAGUUGCCUUUCAGCCUUAAAUAGCCUGUAAUGUUAUGAGUCACUAGACUGACAAGCUUGUAGAAUUAAACUCUCCUUAUAUUUUUAGAUUAUUAGUCAGAUUUCAUGAAGUAUGGUAUUUGAAUUUUUCCUCAUUGCCACCAGUGUUUAUGACCCAGUGUUUAUGGAUUAGCUAUAUAAAAAACAUCAGCUUGUUUUUACUGUUUGAGUAAGGACUGAAGUUUGUGCUUGACUUACAAUAUUUUUAAGUUCAUAGUUUUUAGAAUGAUUGACCUUGUGUGUACAAAAUGGGUGGGGUUUUUUUCAGUUGUUUCUGCUGUAUUGUUUUUAGAGCUUGUCAGUCAAGGUAUUUACAUCUUCAGAGCUAGAGAGGCUUUUCUUUACCCAUAAUCAGAUUUUAAUAGAGAGGAUUAAAGCAGAUACCUUGGAACUGCUGUUUCUGAUGUUUCAUGGCCUGAACGGGUUUUUAAUGUUACUGCAUGGCUGGUGCCCUGGGCCUUUGAUCUGAAAAGAAAAAUGUUACUGAUGUGAUUUAAGCCAGACUUAGCCUUAAAUGGCUGACUGAGUAAACUCAAUGUAUUCUGGAAGGUCAUUAAAGAGGUGGUUAUGUCUUUUCUUUUGCAUGGGCAAAUUACUUUUUGGAGCUGUGCACAUAUAUUUGCAUCAUUGUUAGUGGAUUUGUGGGUCUACUCUAGAAAGUGAAAAUAAAUAAUCUUUCAGGAGAAGCAUGACCUAUGACUGAAGCUUUGUUUUAUUUUGAGGGUGAUACUAUUCCUUGAUCUUGGCUUAAUUGUGUCUUCUCCAAAUACACAAGUUAACCUCCUUCCUGCUCUGUUAGAUUCUA